UGAGGAAUAUUGCACAAUGGGCGAAAGCCUGAUGCAGCAACGCCGCGUGAGGGACGAAGGCCUUCGGGUCGUAAACCUCUUUUCUGGGGGACGAGUAAGGACGGUACCUCAGGAAUAAGUCUCGGCUAACUACGUGCCAGCAGCCGCGGUAAAACGUAGGAGGCGAGCGUUAUCCGGAUUUACUGGGCGUAAAGCGUACGCAGGUGGCUUCGUGAGUCGGACAUGAAAGCUCCCGGCUUAACUGGGAGAGGUUGUUCGAUACUGCGGGGCUUGAGGCUGGGAGAGGGACGUGGAAUUCCCGGUGUAGUGGUGGAAUGCGUAGAUGUCGGGAGGAACACCAGUGGCGCAAGCGGCGUCCUGGCCCACACCUGACGCUGAGGUACGAAAGCGUGGGUAGCAAACAG
rnacentral:rRNA from 1 species